GAUGAACGCUAGCUACAGGCUUAACACAUGCAAGUCGAGGGGCAGCAUGUCGGUUGCUUGCAACCGAUGAUGGCGACCGGCGCACGGGUGAGUAACGCGUAUCCAACCUACCCUUGUCCAUCGGAUAACCCGUCGAAAGGCGGCCUAACACGAUAUGCGGUUCUCAGCAGGCAUCUAACGAGAACGAAAUGUGAAGGAGAAGGAUGGGGAUGCGUCUGAUUAGCUUGUUGGCGGGGUAACAGCCCACCAAGGCGACGAUCAGUAGCCGUCUGAGAGGAGUGAACGGACCGACCAAUUGGGUACGU
rnacentral:rRNA from 1 species